rnacentral:rRNA from 1 species
GGGCGGCCCGCUGUGCUCGAUCUGCAGCACGGACUAUUUCUUGAGCGAAUACGAGGGCUG